UACGUAGGGUGCGAGCGUUGUCCGGAUUUAUUGGGCGUAAAGAGCUCGUAGGCGGUCUGUCGCGUCUGCUGUGAAAACUCAGGGCUUAACCCUGAGCUUGCAGUGGGUACGGGCAGACUAGAGUGCGGUAGGGGAGACUGGAAUUCCUGGUGUAGCGGUGAAAUGCGUAGAUAUCUGGAGGAACACCGGUGGCGAAGGCGGCAUCCUGGACCGACACUGACGCUGAGGAGCGAAAGCCAGGGGAGCAAACGGG
rnacentral:rRNA from 1 species